AGUGAACGCUGGCGGUAGGCCUAACACAUGCAAGUCGAACGGCAGCACAGUAAGAGCUUGCCCUUACGGGUGGCGAGUGGCGGACGGGUGAGGAAUACAUCGGAAUCUACUUUUUCGUGGGGGAUAACGUAGGGAAACUUACGCUAAUACCGCAUACGAUCUACGGGUUAAAGCAGGGGAUAUUGGGACCUUUGGCGAUUGUAUUAGCCGAUGUCGGAUUAGCUAGUUGGCUGGGUAAAGGCACACCAAGGCGACGAUCCGUAGCUGGUCUGAGAGGAUGAUCAGCCACACUGGAACUGAGACACGGUCCAGACUCCUACGGGAGGCAGCAGUGGGGAAUAUUGGACAAUGGGCGCAAGCCUGAUCCAGCCAUACCGCGUGAGUGAAGAAGGCCUUCGGGUUGUAAAGCCCUGUUGUUAGGAAAGAACAGCAGCAUGUUAAUACCUCGCUGUUCUGACGGUACCCAAACAGUAAGCACCGGCUAACUUCGUG
rnacentral:rRNA from 1 species